GCCGGGAUAGCUCAGUUGGUAGAGCAGAGGACUGAAGAUCCUCGUGUC
rnacentral:tRNA from 1 species